rnacentral:rRNA from 1 species
GCUGGCGGCAUGCUUAACACAUGCAAGUCGAACGGAAACGAUUAAGUAGCUUGCUCUUAAGGCGUCGAGUGGCGGACGGGUGAGUAAUGCUUGGGAAUCUGCCCUGCAGUGGGGGACAACCCGGGGAAACCCGGGCUAAUACCGCAUACGCCCCCUGGUUUAGUCACCAGGGAGGAAAGCGGGGGACCUUCGGGCCUCGCGCUGUUGGAUGAGCCCAAGUCGGAUUAUCUUGUUGGUAGGGUAACGGCCUACCAAGGCAGCGAUCCGUAGCUGGUCUGAGAGGACGAUCAGCCACACUGGGACUGAGACACGGCCCAGACUCCUACGGGAGGCAGCAGUGGGGAAUAUUGGACAAUGGGGGCAACCCUGAUCCAGCAAUGCCGCGUGUGUGAAGAAGGCCUGCGGGUUGUAAAGCACUUUCA